UGAUGGCAGUGAUGAUAAUUGUGAUGAUGCAUACCUGAUACACAAACUGAGGGCUGCACAGUCACUACCUCUUCUGAGGCCAUCU